GACGAACGCUGGCGGCGUGCUUAACACAUGCAAGUCGAACGGAAAGGCCCUGGUUAUGCGGGGUGCUCGAGUGGCGAACGGGUGAGUAACACGUGAGUAACCCGCUCUUGACUUUGGGAUAAAUUCAGGAAACUGGGGCUAAUACCGGAUAGGAGCUCCUGCUGCAUGGGGGGGGCAGGACAGCUUCGGCGGUUGGGGAUGGACUAGCGGCUUACCAGCUUGUUGGUGGGGUAGUGGCUUACCAAGGCUUUGACGGGUAGCCGGCCUGAGAGGGUGACCGGCCACAUGGGGACUGCGGUACGGCCCAGACGCCUACGUGGGGCAACAGGGGGAAACCUUGCACAAUGAUCGGAAGCCUGUUACGGCGGCGCCGCGUGCGUAAUGACGGCCUUCGGGUAGUAAACCGCUUUCGCCUAUUACGAAGCGUGAGUGACGGUAAUGGAUGAAGAAGCACCGGCUAACUACGUG
rnacentral:rRNA from 1 species